UUGGUGGUGGCUUAUUAGUUCUGUAUUCCUUAUCAGGAUCUCCUGUCAUGGUACCUGGCCAGGGUGGGUGGUUUCAAUCAGUAUGCUUCCCCUAACAUAUACAUGACCUUCCCAAACUCCCUAACUAUCCCUCUCUGCCAGUAACCAUAAGUUCGUUUCAUGUCUGUGAGUCUGUUUUAUAAGUUCAAAAUAUUUUCUUAAUGAAGGUGAGUCUUUUUUUUUUUUUUUUCGUACUGAUGUUCUCCAUGGGAUUUAUUUACUUCUUUAGAAAUGUGGUAUCUCAGUGCCCUGACCAGGGAUCGAACCUGCACCCCCUGCAUUGGAAGGUGAAGACUUAACUGCUGGACCACCAGGGAAGUCCCUGCUUACAUACUUUUGAAUUGUGAUAUUCCACCAAAACCCAUGGACAAGUUUAUUGUGGAGUAUUGCCAACGUACAGGCAAGCGUAGACUAGAACAAUUUUAAAGAAUGUUCACAAAUACACCACACAGAUGAAUCAACUCUUGAGUAGGACAUAUNNNNNNNNNNNNNNNNNNNNNNNNUAACACACUUGUAAUAAACACCAUGUAUACUCAUGAGCCCUCCCUAAACCCAUUCCCCUUACCUUCAACGUGACUCAUUACCCAAGAAGAUGACUGUAGUUGCCCAGCAUCACGUCCCUUCUGAGCCCAGUCCAGCAUGUCCCACUCUUGCUGGUGAAGUACAGAGCCUUGUCCUCAAAGGACAGCAACCCCUGGAAACACGGAGACUCAUUAUAACUGCAGCUCCUACUACAGCUUUAUGGGCCGCAGUAUUAUUAUUGUCCUACAGCCGAGGCUCAUCCAGUUAACUAGCAGACUCAGGGCUCAACUCGUCUCCAACCCUCAGGUCACGCGUGUUCUUUCUUCCACGCUAGAGUCACACGUGUUCUCUCUGGAAGGACACAUGGUCAGUAUGUGAGGCUUCUCUGGCCGUUUGGUCUCUGCUGUGGUCACUCAACUCUACUCUGGCAGCAUAGACAACAAGAGAGUGGACGGGUGUGGCUGUAACCCCAUGAAAUCGCUCCCG
rnacentral:lncRNA from 1 species